rnacentral:tRNA from 1 species
GGAACGGUAGCUCAGUUGGUAAGAGCGCUGGAUUGAAAUCCCAGAGGUCGCAGGCUCAAAACCUGCCCGUUCCACCA